AACGAACGCUGGCGGCAGGCCUAACACAUGCAAGUCGAGCGGACCUUUCGGGGUCAGCGGCGGACGGGUGAGUAACGCGUGGGAAUAUGCCCUUCUCUACGGAAUAGUCCUGGGAAACUGGGGGUAAUACCGUAUACGCCCUUUGGGGGAAAGAUUUAUCGGGGAAGGAUUAGCCCGCGUUGGAUUAGGUAGUUGGUGGGGUAAUGGCCUACCAAGCCGACGAUCCAUAGCUGGUUUGAGAGGAUGAUCAGCCACACUGGGACUGAGACACGGCCCAGACUCCUACGGGAGGCAGCAGUGGGGAAUCUUAGACAAUGGGGGCAACCCUGAUCUAGCCAUGCCGCGUAAGUGAUGAAGGCCUUAGGGUUGUAAAGCUCUUUCAGCUGGGAAGAUAAUGACGGUACCAGCAGAAGAAGCCCCGGCUAACUCCGUG
rnacentral:rRNA from 1 species